UGGAACCUGAUCAGUUCCAUAGGGUGUGACUGAAUAACUCUGUUGGAAUUAGGCGGAGUAAUGUAAAUGGUUAGAGGUGGUACUCGCCUUCCCUAAAGGAAGUGAACCCGAACCAAGGGAACCAUUGUUGUUAUGUACUAAUUUUCGCUUUAGCGAUUCCCAUAACUUGAGGGUACGAAGUAGUCCCUCCACCCAACCC
rnacentral:ncRNA from 1 species